rnacentral:rRNA from 1 species
GAUGAACGCUGGCGGCGUGCCUAAUACAUGCAAGUCGAGCGAACAGACGAUGAGCUUUCUCCCCUGACGUUAGCGGCGGACGGGUGAGUAACACGUGGAUCACCUACCUAUAAGUCUGGGAUAACUUCGGGAGACCGCAUCCAAUACUGGCUCAUAUAUCGUACCGCAUGGUUCAAUAGUUAAACACGGUUUUCCUGUCACUUAUAGAUGGAUCCGCGCCGCAUUAGCUAGUUGGUAAGGUAACGGCCUACCAAGGCUACGAUGCGUAGCCGACCUGAGAGGGUGAUCAGCCACACUGGAACUGAGACACGGUCCAGACUCCUACGGGAGGCAGCAGUAGGGAAUAUUCGGCAAUGGGCGAAAGCCUGACGCAGCAACGCCGCGUGAGUGAUGAAGGUCUUCGGAUCGUAAAGCUCUGUUAUUAGGGAAGAACAAAUGUGUAAGUAACUAUGCACGUCUUGACGGUACCUAAUCAGAAAGCCACGGCUAACUACGUG